CGUUGGGAACUAGUUGUGGGGUCCAUUCCACGGAUUCCGUGACGCAGCUAACGCAUUAAGUUCCCCGCCUGGGGAGUACGGCCGCAAGGCUAAAACUCAAAGGAAUUGACGGGGACCCGCACAAGCGGCGGAGCAUGCGGAUUAAUUCGAUGCAACGCGAAGAACCUUACCAAGGCUUGACAUAUACGAGAACGGGCCAGAAAUGGUCAACUCUUUGGACACUCGUAAACAGGUGGUGCAUGGUUGUCGUCAGCUCGUGUCGUGAGAUGUUGGGUUAAGUCCCGCAACGAGCGCAACCCUCGUUCUAUGUUGCCAGCACGUAAUGGUGGGAACUCAUGGGAUACUGCCGGGGUCAACUCGGAGGAAGGUGGGGAUGACGUCAAAUCAUCAUGCCCCUUAUGUCUUGGGCUUCACGCAUGCUACAAUGGCCGGUACAAAGGGCUGCAAUACCGUGAGGUGGAGCGAAUCCCAAAAAGCCGGUCCCAGUUCGGAUUGAGGUCUGCAACUCGAC
rnacentral:rRNA from 1 species